CGCUGGCGGCAUGCUUAACACAUGCAAGUCGNACGGUUAGGGGCAACCCUGGCAGUGGCGGACGGGUGAGUAACGCGUAGGUAUCUGUCCAUGGGUGGGGGAUAACGCUGGGAAACUGGUGCUAAUACCGCAUGACACCUGAGGGUCAAAGGCGCGAGUCGCCUAUGGAGGAGCCUGCGUCCGAUUAGCUAGUUGGUGGGGUAAGAGCCUACCAAGGCGAUGAUCGGUAGCUGGUCUGAGAGGAUGAUCAGCCACAUUGGGACUGAGACACGGCCCAAACUCCUACGGGAGGCAGCAGUGGGGAAUAUUGGACAAUGGGCGAAAGCCUGAUCCAGCAAUGCCGCGUGUGUGAAGAAGGUCUUCGGAUUGUAAAGCACUUUCGGUGGGGACGAUGAUGACGGUACCCGCAGAAGAA
rnacentral:rRNA from 1 species